UGGGGAAUUUUGCGCAAUGGGGGAAACCCUGACGCAGCAACGCCGCGUGAGUGAUGAAGGCCUUCGGGUCGUAAAGCUCUGUCAGAGGGGAAGAAAUGCAGGGGUGCUAAUAUCAUCUUUGCUUGACGGUACCCUCAAAGGAGGCACCGGCUAACUCCGUGCCAGCAGCCGCGGUAAUACGGAGGGUGCGAGCGUUGUUCGGAAUUAUUGGGCGUAAAGCGCGUGUAGGCGGUUUGGUAAGUCUGAUGUGAAAGCCCCGGGCUCAACCUGGAAAGUGCAUUGGAAACUGUCAGACUUGAAUACGGGAGAGGGUAGUGGAAUUCCUAGUGUAGGAGUGAGAUCCGUAGAUAUUAGGAGGAACACCGGUGGCGAAGGCGGCUACCUGGACCGAUAUUGACGCUGAGACGCGAAAGCGUGGGGAGCAAACAG
rnacentral:rRNA from 1 species